GGAAAAAACUCUGAAGAGCGGCGCGGAAAUUACGCGCACACCGAAGGGGCUAAGGGGCGGCAACUGCGCCCUGAAAAUCUCAGGUGCCAGGACAGAGGGGUGUAG
rnacentral:ncRNA from 2 species